rnacentral:lncRNA from 1 species
GACAUUUGAUGUGCAGAUGGACCUAGGAAUAAGCUAUUCUCAUUUGUUUACUUCCAGACUGGAAAAUUCCUUUUUGAAAUGAAUUACUAGAGGAAGCCAGGAUUAUGAUGAUUUCCUGCAUCACAUCUUUGUAGAAAUUCUGAGAAGGAUCCAGCCAAGCCCACUUCUGUUGGGUGAAGGUCACAGUCACAACUUCAAAGGCAACUAAGUUCGUAUUCCAACUUCCUGGGUGUCCUGGCAUCCUCCCCAUGCAUGUCCCAGUACCUGCAGGUCACAGAGUGAUAAAGGCUGUGGCAGAACUCCCUGGGCCUCCUACAGUGAAGAAGAAGGAGCAGCGAAGACUGACUGAGCAGUGGACAUGUGGGCAUGAAAGACCUGAGUAGAUUUAUUUAUUGAAAGAAAACCGUGCAGUUCAUCGAAUCAAAGUCCUGAACACAGAAAACAAGGCAGGAAGACAUCACAGAGCACAGUCAGUGACAUGCCAGGAGCUCCUGUGUUGCUAAGCAAAGACGCAUCUUGAAUGUGAAUGCUGCUCUCUAGCCAAACUCAUAUAUCCUUACGUGACUGAAUCCUAUGAUGGUAUACACCGUGGAAAUGAACUCCUAUUUUACGUGGCAUCAAGGCUGAAUCCCUUCAUUGGGUCUUGCUCUCCAUCCUCAACCCAUGAGAUUCCACUGAUCCCAAUGAUGGAUGUGCUGAUUAAGUUUAUUUUUCUUACAUCCUCUAAAUAAUGCUUGUUUUAUCUUUAUGGUUUUUAAAAUGUGCUUCCUAAACUGUGUUUCAUUGUAUGUUAGUUCCAUAAUGUGUUGGCUAGAAUUCCAUGGUCAAAUAUAUUUGAGAAAUACUGUAUCAUAUUCCUCUCUAGGAGAUUCACAAUAUGCAAUAGCAUACUGAAGGCUCUGAAAAUUCCUACUGUGUUAAAAAAGGAAGCAAAAUAAAAAAGUCUUUUACUCAAUUUAAACCAGACUUUCCCCAGCUUGUUUGAGACAGAACACUUGUGCUUUGUAGUACACUUAUUAACGGCCUGCAAAAUAAUGAUGAGCAGGAAACUGGUUCUGGGAACAUUGUUUUAUGCUAUUCCUUUGUCUGUAAUGUUCACUAAAUUUUUUUUUCACCACUUUCUUUUAAAAUGCCAAUCAUCCUACAAAAAUUGCAUUCUGCUUCCAUGGAAAGGUGCAUUACAUUUGAGUAAGUAGGGAAAGGUGAAGGGCAUUGUGAGUAGGGGAAUAACCAAAUACAACCACGUUAUUCAUCACACGUUGUCAGUAUCUUAGCUUCUUUUAUCAACUAUAUUCUAAGAUUCUUGAGAGCAAGGAUUGUUUUUUUAAAAAAUACUGCAAACCAGACUCAGUACAACUUUCCCAAUUAUCCUGAAUACCAGGUGUAAUUCCAGCAGUCACACCACAAAAAGACAUAAUGCCAAUUAAAAAACAGAUCUAGUGAAGGAUUGAGGACAAGGAGUUACUGUAUGAAGUUAGAGUUAGAAACAUUAGUCUAAAGGGAAAAUCGACUUUUUGUCCAAAUCUGGUAAUAUCAGUCACCGCAAGGAGAUCUUAUGUGUGAUUUGAGC